rnacentral:tRNA from 1 species
UCCUGUUUAGCUAAGUUGGUAGAGCGCUCCACUAAAAACGGAGAGGUCCCUGGUUCAAUAACAGGACCAGGCG